CGCAGGCGCUGCGGGGCGGGACCGACCACCCCGCGCUGUGCGGGCGCGCAGCGAGCCGGGCGCUCGCUGGGCCCGUCCCGCCACCGGCGUCUGCGAC
rnacentral:tRNA from 1 species